AAAGGAAUAGACGGGGACCCGCACAAGCAGUGGAGUAUGUGGUUUAAUUCGAAGAUACGCGAAAAACCUUACCAGGGCUUGACAUCCUCAGAAUCCCGCUGAGAAGUGGGAGUGCCUUCGGGAACUGAGUGACAGGUGGUGCAUGGUUGUCGUCAGCUCGUGUCGUGAGAUGUUGGGUUAAGUCCCGCAACGAGCGCAACCCUUAUUGCUAGUUGCUAACAUUCAGUUGAGAACUCUAGCGAGACUGCCGUUGACAAAACGGAGGAAGGUGGGGACGACGUCAAAUCAUCAUGCCCCUUAUGUCCUGGGCUACACACGUACUACAAUGGCCGUUAACAACAGGAAGCUAAGCCGCGAGGUGGAGCAAAUCCCUAAAAACGGUCCCAGUUCAGAUUGCAGGCUGAAACUCGCCUGCAUGAAGUUGGAAUUGCUAGUAAUCGCGAAUCAGCAUGUCGCGGUGAAUACGUUCCCGGGUCUUGUACACACCGCCCGU
rnacentral:rRNA from 1 species